UGUUUAGAGAGCAAUGGUGCACCUUCAUUCCUAACAACACUGCAGCAAAUGGCAGUCUCACCAUGGCCAUGGAAGGGUUGAAAACUCUGAAUGGUAAGAUGAAAGAUCAAUCUGGUGUAGACGCCACUAUGUGGGACUCUUGGAUGGAUGCUUUUGGGAAAUACCGAACCUUGGUGUCCUCAAUUCUAAUAUCUCUAGCAGUUUUUGCUGCAAUAUUGACCUUAUGUGGAUGUUGUUGUAUUCCGUGCCUGCGUUCUUUGUCUACUCGUCUCAUCACCACAGCAAUUUCACCUAUGGAGGACCGUUUAACCCAGAUGUAUCCACUCCUGCAACAAAACCGAGAUGACGAUGACAACACAGAUGAAGAAUCAGACCAUUGGCCUGAUUUGUUCCCUGAUCCAGGUGACUAUGAGUCACCCCCGAAUGGCACCCUGCUAUCUCAUGACUGGCAGGGCAGGCUGACACCGAACCAAGAUAGUCUCACGGUUGCUCCCAAGGCCGCUCUCACGAGAUAGAGCACUCAACAUACCUUGUUUUUUAUUAAGCAUUAUACACCUCCCCCACCCCUUAGAGAACUAUGUAACAGGGAAUCUCCUAAACUGAAUAAAAGAGAGGAGGCUGCAUAGAUGCACUUCAGAGUGAGUAGGAGAUGUAACUGAAUGCAUCUAUGCUUACUCUCCUCGCGAGUAAAAACUU